CAGGUAGGGAAUCUUCCACAAUGGGCGAAAGCCUGAUGGAGCAACGCCGCGUGUGUGAUGGAGGGUUUCGGCUCGUAAAACACUGUUGUAAGAGAAGAAUGACAUUGAGAGUAACUGUUCAAUGUGUGACGGUAUCUUACCAGAAAGGAACGGCUAAAUACGUGCCAG
rnacentral:rRNA from 1 species